ACAGGGCACUCUGGCUGAACCAUUUAUCAUUUAUUUGACUGGCAGGUUGAUUUGGCUAAUCUGACAGACUAGAUGGACAUCCCAUCCUCCCUCAUACUCCAUAUGCAUCCUACCUGAAGAUGCAUGCUGGGUCAUGGGGGGCAACCUUCCCCACAAGAAGAGGAUCAUUCUUUGGUCAAAAGAAUAUGAGUAUCAAGUCCUGGUCUUCCCACAUGGUAGGCAGGAGCCCAACUGGUGGAGGCUGGCUGGCC
rnacentral:snRNA from 1 species